AGCUUCCUGGGCAGGCAAGGGACCUACCUGCCCUCCCCUAGUCUCCUCUGUGAAUGACAGUAACCACGACACUGGUCUCUCGGGGCUGCUGGAAGGACAGAUGAGCAAAGCACUUGGCAUGCCGUGGACAGGCAUGACACCCGCAGCCCCCAAGCAAGCCAUUCAACUUUUGUUGUGUGCUGAGCAGCCCGCAACUGACAAGGCCAAGAAGGAGGCUGGAAGACCCACCAAGGCGGACUCCAUGGAGCCACUGGAGCAAAGUCAAGUAUCCCUAGCAAGAGAGACAAGCGGGUCCCCAAGGAGGCUCGGACAGCUGGUCAGUAGAACACUCGGUGGGAAAGCCAAGGACAACGGCCCAAAGCUGAGUGUCUGAAUAGAUGGGGGAUACAGAGCUGUACUCUCAUCUCCCGUCAUUACCUCAACGGGGCUGCCACACCUUUGUGUGCAUUUAUGCUCACGUGAAACUCUGCACCAGAAUAAUCCCAGGGCCUGUCGGAGUAGAGAAAUGUGGCUGGAGUGGACUUAGAGUGACCAGUAUCUCUAGAAACCUACUAACCGGGUAUUUCUGCAUAGAUGCAAAAACUGGUCCUUCUGUGGGGUGACAUUAUGAAUAAAAUGUUCAAAUAC
rnacentral:lncRNA from 1 species